CUCCGCCUCUUGGGUUCGGGAGGUGGUUCCAUCUCAGCCGCCCUCUGCCUCUUGGGUUUGCGUGGUUUUUCUGCCUCAGCCUCCUGAGUAGCUAAGGGAGGUGUCUUGAGAUUAUCAUCCGCUGAGGGUGGAAGCGGCCCCCGCAGACGCUCCCCGCAGACGCUCGGCAGGUGUCUUGAUAUUAUCAUCUGCUGAGGGUGGAGCUGAGGGUGGAAAGGGAGUGAGCUGACGCUCGGAAGGUGUCUUGAGAUUAUCAUCCGCUGAGGGUGGAAGGGGAUGGAGCAGACACUCGGCACGUGUCUUGAGAUUAUCAUCCGCUGAGGGUGGAGCUGAGGGUAGAGCUGAGGGUGGAAGGGGAGUGAGCAGACACUCGGGAGGUGUCUUGAGGCUCAGGGAGUUAUCAGUUAUAGAAUGUUGUUGAGUUGGAGGAGGUGGCUGGUGGCCCAUCCUGUUUUUUAAAGUUUCAGCUGUGAGGUA
rnacentral:lncRNA from 10 species